CCUACGGGAGGCAGCAGUGGGGAAUAUUGGGCAAUGGGCGCAAGCCUGACCCAGCAACGCCGCGUGAAGGAUGAAGGUUUUCGGAUUGUAAACUUCUGUCGCGAGGGACGAAGAAUGACGGUACCUCGUCCGAAAGCCCCGGCUAACUACGUGCCAGCAGCCGCGGUAAUACGUAGGGGGCAAGCGUUGACCGGAAUGACUGGGCGUAAGGGGGGUGUGGGGAGCCGUGUAAGGUAGAUGUGAAAUCCUAGGGCUUAACCGUAGAACUGCAUCUAAAACUGUGUGGCUGGAGUGCAGGAGAGGUGAGUGGAAUGCCUAGUGUAGCGGUGGAAUGCGUAGAUAUGAGGAGGAACACCAGAGGCGAAGGCGACUCACUGGACUGUAACUGACGCUGAGGCUCGAAAGCGUGGGUAGCAAACAGGAUUAGAUACCCGUGUAGUC
rnacentral:rRNA from 1 species